UGGUUCUGGCAUCGAUGAAGAACGCAGCGAAAUGCGAUAAGUAAUGCGAAUUGCAGAAUUCAGUGAAUCAUCGAAUCUUUGAACGCACAUUGCGCCCCUUGGUAUUCCGAAGGGCAUGCCUGUUCGAGCGUCAUUACAACCCUCAAGCCUGGCUUGGUAUUGGGCCUCGCUGUACUUGGCGGGCCUUAAAAUCAGUGGCGGUGUCGUCGAGGCCCUACGCGUAGUAAAUAUCCUCGCUAUAGGACCUGGCGGUUACUGGCCCUUCGUCUCUCUAAGUUUGACCUCGGAUCAGGUAGGGAUACCCGCUGA
rnacentral:misc_RNA from 1 species